AUUCCAGCAAUUGUUUUUAAAACGUCAACUAAUUUUAAACCAAUCGCAGUGUCAAAAGAAAUGCUAAUUCAUCAUUUUGAAAUUCUACUGUAAGAUUGUAUAAGAGUAUGUGUGAUCACCACAGUCAUUCGAUCAAAAGCGUUUAAGCAACAUGGCAUCACAAAGUAUUAACAACGAAGAAUUUUUACAAAUUCUAAAAAAUAUGAGAAGUGAACCGCUGUCUCCACUACUUGGCGAAGAAGAAUUCGUAGAUAUAAUAAACGAGAUGAAAAUUGAACCACUUUCGCAAACAAUGUCUCAAGAAUUAUUACCAGAUUUUUGGAAUAUGGAUGAUUAUUAUUUAAAUAUAGUUAAUGAAAUAGAAAAUCCUACAUCAUAUUCGAUGAUCGAUGCGGGGCAACAUCAAACUUGGUGAAAUGAUACGAAUCAGUUAAAUAAUGAAUCAGUUAAUGGAAAUUGUCUUCAUCUCGGAGCACAUCCAUGGUUGAAUUUUGAUACGGAAGAAGAUUUAUUGGAGCUAAUAACACAGGGAACGUGGGUUGAUGAUGUAAAGACAUCAGAUUACCAAGAAAUGAUAAAAGACGUUAGGAGUUGGAAUAUUGAAUUUCACGACGAAGAAUGUGCUCGAGAGACAGAUGAAUUAUCACUAGCUGUAUUCAAAGAAUAUGAACAAAAACAUUGGAAAAAAAAAAAGUUAAAUAACUAUUUCAA